GAAGGCAUGUGCUUUUUCUGAGGUUUCUAGCUUAGAGGGGUGGAACUAGGGCUGUGGUCUGUGGCUCCCACCUGGAGCUUGUGAAGCUGAGAAAACCUUUCCCACCAGUCACAGCACAUGUAUUAGGAUAAACGAGGUUGUGCUGCAGCAACAAAUUAACUCCCCGAUUACAGUAGUCUGACAUAAAGACCUAUUUCUUGCUGACUUGCUCACACUACCUGGUCGUCAUGGUUCACAGUGGGGCCUCUAUUUUGACAUUGUUUUUCGGGGACCCAGACCAAUGGUGGCUCCACCAGUGGCUUCAGCCCAGAAAUGACACAGGUCACUUUUGCUUGUGGUACAUUGGACAGAACUAGUCACAUGGAGUCGGGGCAUGAAGGGGCGCAUGGUGUACUGGGUGAGUGUUACUGUCCUCCACGUCAUGACUUCACCAGCUCUUUCCCUGCAAGACGGACACACAGACUUCCCAGGCCAUUGGCAACAAUAACAGGCAAUACAAACUCUCACCUGAGUCUUCCCUCACUCCAUCUGGAGUUCCAACCUCCAGUGCUUCCAUAGACAGGCAGGUAAAGUGACUGGGAGUGGUGGACACAGGGCUACCUGGUCAGCACAUAUCCUUUCCAGAGACUCUCAAGUCCAAAUGUCUCUCUGAUCAUGCAUAUGUGUCUGUGGGCACUUUGAGCAGUGGGUCGUGGCUUGUCACUUGAUUCCAGUACCUGAAGAAAUGAAGUCUCUUCCACACGUAAUUUUUUUAAAUUAAUUUUUUUAAAAUUUAUUUUCAGUUGUAUAAAACAUAACAUAAGUCGCUUCAGUUGUGUCUGACUUUGUGACCCCACGGACUGUAGCCUGGCAGGCUCCUCUGCCCCUGGGAUUCUCCAGGUUCUUUACCACUAGUGCCUGGGAAGCCCCUCUGGUGGUCUAGUGGAUAAAAAUCUGCCUGCCAGUACAGGGAUCAUCGUUCGAUCCCUGCUCCUGGAAGAUUCCACAUCCCUUGGAGCAAGUAAAUCCAUGCACCACAACUACUGAGCCUGUACUCUAGAGCCUGGGAGUUGCAACGACUGAAGCUGCCGC
ensembl:lncRNA